UUUAUUUAAGUUGUACAAUAUUCUGAAACGAUAAAUUCGUCCCGAAUAACUGCCGUGUAGGAAAAAUUCUAGAAUGCAAUGGAUAUAUUGGUGAUGUGGCGUAACAAACCAAUCAAAUAUUUUUUUUUAGAGAUAUAUAUUCUAUCAUGAUUAUAAAAAAAUAUUUUUAUUGUACUUUUGUUUGAAAAGAAGAAAUGUGUUUGACUUAUUAUUGAUGACGUGAUGUAAGUGUGACUAGCGUAGAAUUC
rnacentral:lncRNA from 1 species